rnacentral:rRNA from 1 species
UACGUAGGGUGCGAGCGUUAAUCGGAAUUACUGGGCGUAAAGCGUGCGCAGGCGGUUUUGUAAGCCAGAUGUGAAAUCCCCGGGCUUAACCUGGGAAUGGCAUUUGGGACUGCAAGGCUGGAGUACGGCAGAGGAGACUGGAAUUCCUGGUGUAGCAGUGAAAUGCGUAGAGAUCAGGAGGAACACCAAUGGCGAAGGCAGAUCUCUGGGCCGUAAGCUGACGCUGAGGAGCGAAAGCAUGGGGAGCGAACAGG